GUUCUAAUAACAAUAAGAACAAUCGAUCAAAUUCUAGGGUUCCAAAUUUCCAAUUAGGUCUUAUAGUCUCAGAAAUUCACUUAGAGUCCGAGAUUCAGAGAGAGUUCUGCCGCCGGUUGCCGCCUGUCGCUGCUCUUAUUCAGGAAUAGAAAUGUUUGGUACCACAACGAUAUUGCCCCUUCCGGCACCGCCGUUGGAUGGGAAUCUGGGACCAACACCUCCUGCUCAGGUGGUAGAGGAACCAGAGGAUGAUAGGAUGGAAGAGAAUGAAGAGGACAACAAUAAAGGCAACAAGGUUCCAACAUCUGUUGCUACACAUACUAGAACUAUUGGUAUCAUUUACCCUCCUCCAGAUAUUAGGAGUAUUGUUGAUAAGACUUCGCAGUUUGUUGCGAAGAAUGGUCCGGAAUUUGAGAAGAGGAUUGUUCUAAAUAACGCUGGCAAUGCAAAAUUCAACUUCCUGAAUGCUUCUGAUCCUUACCAUGCCUAUUAUCAGCACCGUUUGGCUGAAGCUCGCGCACAGAAUCAGGGUUCUGGAGAGCAGCCUACUCAGCCAGAAGACAAAGAAGCAACCCCUGCUCCUACCGCUGAUGAUGCUGAGGCAACUGCAAAACCUGACCCAUCAGCUCAAUUUAGACCUGUCAGAAAGGUUCUUGAGCCACCUGAGGCAGAGCAAUAUACUGUAAGACUCCCUGAAGGGAUCACAGGUGAAGAACUGGAUAUUAUUAAGCUAACAGCACAAUUUGUGGCCAGAAAUGGGAAGUCUUUCUUAACAGGGUUAACAAGCAGGGAGAUUAAUAAUCCCCAAUUUCAUUUUCUAAAGCCUACUCACAGCAUGUUCAUGUUUUUCACUUCACUUGCUGAUGCGUAUUCAAAAGUUCUGAUGCCUCCGAAAGGCUUGACGGACAAGCUGCAGAAGAGUGCUGCUGACAUGACAACAGUCCUAGAGCGAUGUCUGCAUCGGUUGGAAUGGGAAAGGUCACAGGAGCAGGCUCGGCAAAAAGCUGAAGAUGAGAUAGAACAAGAGAGGGUGCAGAUGGCUAUGAUUGAUUGGCAUGAUUUUGUUGUUGUUGAGACUAUAGAUUUUGCCGAUGACGAGGAUCAGGAUUUACCUCCACCUAUGACCCUAGAGGAGGUUAUAAGGAGGAGCAAGAUGCCUACAUUGGAGGAAGAAGAGUAUGUUGAGCCUGGAAAAGAGGUGGAAAUGGAGAUGGAUGAAGAAGAGGUGCAGCUAGUUGAAGAAGGUAUGCGAGCUGCGACUCUUGAAGAGAAUGGUGAUAUCAAGAGUGCUGAAACCAUGACAAUUUCAGAGGAACAGGACCCACCAAUGCGGAUUGUGA
rnacentral:misc_RNA from 1 species